rnacentral:rRNA from 1 species
GCCUGCAUGAAGUCGGAAUUGCUAGUAAUCGCGGAUCAGCAUGCCGCGGUGAAUACGUUCCCGGGCCUUGUACACACCGCCCGUCACACCAUGAGAGCCGGGGGGGACCCGAAGUCCGUAGCUUAACCGCAAGGAGGGCGCGGCCGAAGGUAAAACUGGUGAUUGGGGUGAAGUCGUAACAAGGUACC